CAGAUAUCCUUCCUGACCCAACCCAACCCAGGAGGGAAGGGUCAGGUGAUGUCGAUGAAAUGAAAAGAAAAUGUGUUUAAAAAUGUUAUUGUAUAUUUCGAUCAUGACUUGAUCUGUACUAAAUAUAAUUGCAGUAAUUUGUAUCUAAAAUUUCACACCAAAAAAGCCGACACCUGACAAAGUUUACCUGAUACUUUUAUACAGCAUUUAUUAUACUAUAUGAUAUUAUUAUAUACAUUUCAUACUGUACAAUUCUUUGAACACAGGAAAUCUGCACGUGUCACAUGGUGAGUAGUCGUGAUUUGAUGCGUUAUGGAACUAAAGACAAAGACAUCUAAUAUUCAGCAGUCCUCCUGGAUCUCCCUGCUCAGAGCCCUGCAAAUCAAACAGGAGUAGGGUCUGGAGGACAGGGGUCCAGCUUGAUCGUGUUUGGGUCACUGACUGUCACGGCGCCGUAAGACGAGUCGAAGUCCUCCUCAUCGUUGAACCUUUGCCUGUAGGCCAGGAUGAAGACGCCGGCCUCGGCUGCUUGGAACAAGGCGUACAGCAGGGGGAACAUGUACAUCCCUCCUAUUAACUGAGGGGGAAAAGCCAGCUUUAGGAUGGCAGUGCACAGCUGAACGUUCUGGCAGCCGGUCUCCAGAGACACAGACCUGCAGCUGUUGGGCGGCA